UUACGGCCACAUCACGUUGAAACACCUGUUCCUGUACGAUCAUCGAAGUUAAGCAAAGUCAAGCCUGGUGAGUAAUUAGAUGGGUGACCGUUCGAGAAUGCCAUGUGAUGUAAG